rnacentral:tRNA from 1 species
GCCGGGGUGGCGGAACUGGCAGACGCAGGAGACUUAAAAUCUCCAUCCGCGCGAGCGGAGUGCGGGUUCGAAUCCCGCCCCCGGCA